UACGAAGGGUGCUAGCGUUGUUCGGAAUUAUUGGGCGUAAAGCGUAUGUAGGCGGUUUGAUAAGUCAGUUGUGAAAGCCCUAGGCUUAACUUAGGAAUUGCAGCUGAAACUGUCUGGCUUGAAUUUGGUGGGGGAUAGUGGAAUUCUUAGUGUAGGGGUGAAAUCCGUAGAUAUUAAGAGGAACACCGGCGGCGAAAGCGACUAUCUACACCAACAUUGACGCUGAGAUACGAAAGCGUGGGGAGCAAACAGG
rnacentral:rRNA from 1 species